rnacentral:lncRNA from 1 species
ACAUGAUGGAUGCAUUUACAGCAGUUCCUGAUCCAUAUGAUCGUGUCUACGAGAAUAUACCUGUAAGUACUCACACGCUGGCACCUAAACCUGAUUGCAAGCAUUGUGGUGCAAAGAGGUUCCAGUAUGAGACAAAUGGAUUUUGUUGCCGGUCUGGAAAAGUUAAGUUGGCACACUUAGAACCACCCUUGGAACUUAAAAUGCUAUACACAAGUUCAGAUCCCAAUGCCGUGCAUUUUAGGGAUAACAUUCGAUACUUCAAUGGACACUUUUCAUUCACUACCCUUGGAGUCAGUCUGGACAACAGAUACACAAACAUGAAGUCAGGAGUCUAUAUGUUUCGAGCUCACGGUCAGAUUUACCACAACAUCUUCUCAUUUGGUCCAACUCAAGAUGGGCCAAAGCAUUUGGAACUCUACUUCUAUGAUGACGAUCCCGGUUUACAACAUAGGUUUCAGUGCUCCCCGAACCUAGACCGAGAUGUCAUUCAAAGGCUUGUUGACAUCCUGAAGGAUAAUCCUUAUUCUGAAACGUUCAGGAAUCUAGGUGGAGUCGAUGACCUUGAGGAAUACCGUAUUGAACUGAACACCGACAUGAGGUUGGACCAACGGAGGUAUAAUGUGCCUAUAUCAUCAGAGGUUGCAGCUAUUUGGGUUGAGGGUAGUGAACUCUGUAAGUACUUUGAGCGUAGCAUAGUAUUGUUCGGCAACGACAACAAGAGAUAUAGCAUCCAACCAUAUUAUGGAUGUUAUGAUACGUUGUCUUACCCUUUAUUCUUCCCAAGAGGGGAGAUUGGUUGGCAUCCUGAAAUCCCAAAGAAUGGUGUCAGCUUGAAUGAGAUGCUUCAGUCCCGUCGCAGUGGUCGACAGAGUCUAGGUAAUUCAUAUAACGAAAAUAACAUGUGUUAAUGUUGUUUAUCCUCAUUGUACUCACUUUUCCUGAUUCCCAAUAUUGUCCUUUUGUUAUCUCUCAUUUUAUAGGUUCAUAUAAAAAUAGUCGAUUAUGCGUAUCCAUUAGAGACUACUAUUGCUACAAGUUUCAAAUGCAUCGUGGUGUAUUUAACACCAUGCUAUACGGUAAAGGACUAUUCCAACAAUAUGUGGUUGAUAUGUACAUCAAGGUUGAAAGCUCAAGAUUGGACUAUAUAAAAAACACUAGAAACAAAUACGUGCUGAUCUAUGCCAAGGUGUUGUCGAUAGCCUUCAAGCUGGGGAAAACCAUGCGGAUGAAGUGGGCAAAUGGACUAUAGUUCCUUCAUCAUUUAUUGGGGGAAGAAGAGAUAGGAGACGAAGAUACCUUGAUGCCAUGACCUUGGUGCAAAAGUAUGUAAACCCUGUAUGUGUUUGUUUUUUUAUAUAAUAAAAUGUUGUGGGGUGUAAGCCCUGCAGUCUUCAUGGUCAAAAAAAAGUAUGGGAAGCCAGAUAUUUUUUUAACCAUGACUUGCAACCCUAAUUGGGAUGAAAUAAUUAGUGAGCUAGAGCCUGGAUAAACCCCACAGGAUCGUCCUAAUCUUAUUGUACGAGUAUUUCGAGCAAAGUUGGAAGACCUCAAGAUACAACUUUUUAAAAGGCACAUUCUUGGUAAGGUAGCAGCAUAUGUGUAUGUAGUUGAGUUCCAGAAAAGAGGUCUACCACAUGCUCAUUUCCUCCUAAUCAUGGAGGGGAGGUACAAGCUAACAUGCUCAGAGCAAUAUGACUGUCUCAUAUCUGCUGAAUUGCCAGACAAAUCCAAGUAUCCUGAGUUGUACAAAAUGGUCGUGAAGCACAUGAUGCAUGGUCCGUGUGGAGUCCUAAACCCCAAGAACGUGUGCAUGCAGAAAGGUAGUUGCAAGAACUAUUAUCCACGACCAUUUAAUGUGUCAACCCUUCAGGGAAAGGACUCAUAUCCCAUAUAUAGGAGGAGAGAUGAUGGACGCCGUGCAAAGGUACGUGGCCAAGAGUUAGACAAUAGGUGGGUUGUUCCAUAUAAUCCUUACCUACUAAGAAGGUAUAAUUGCCACAUCAAUGUCGAGGUUUGCUCAAGCAUAAAAGCUGUAAAGUACCUCUUUAAAUACAUAUAUAAGGGGCAUGAUCGAGCAUCUGUUUCUAUCGAUGAGGUGGAUAGUGAUAGGAACAUUGAUGAGAUAAAGCAAUACCGAGAUUCCAGGUGGGUUACUCCACCAGAAGCAUUAUGGAGGAUAUAUGGUUUUGACCUUAGUCAGAUAUUUCCAUCUGUUAGACAACUCCAACUCCACCUCCCUAAUAUGCACAUGGUGUCGUUUCCAGCGGGUGCAAAUCUGAAUGAUGUCCUCUCUCAAGAAGGAGCUUCCAAGACCAUGCUAACUGAGUAUUUUGAGGCAAACAAGAAAUAUGAGUUGGCUCGAGGAAUUUUAUAUAAGGAUUUCCCAUCUUAUUUUGUUUGGAUGUCAGGUGGAAAGUAUUGGAAAAGGAGGGAUGAACGCACACAGAUUGGGAGAAUUGUGUCUGCACAUCCAGCUGAAGGGGAGAGGUAUUAUCUUAGAGUGCUUCUAAACCAUGUCACGGGUUCUACAUCCUUCCAAGACCUUAGAACAAUGGAUCGUAUUGUUUACUCGACAUUCCAUGAAGCUGCUGAAAGGAGGGGUGUUAUCGAGUCAGAUAAUACUAUCAACGAGUGUCUUGAUGAGGCUAAGGUUUUUUAUAUGCCAUCUUCCCUUCAGAGGCUAUUUGCCACUAUAUUGGUCUUUUGUGAACCCAGCAAUGUGCGUGGCCUAUGGGACAGACACAUGGAAGCUAUGACAGAAGACUAUCGACUAACACAAAUGUGCCCCCAUGCAGUUGAGCAGAUGGCAUUAUUAGAUAUAAAGAAUAUGCUUGAAUCGAUGGGUAAGGACAUAUCAUCAUUCCCUCUCCCAGAAAUUGACAAGUCAUAUGAUGCCUCGGAUAAUGAGUCUAGGGAGAUCAUAGAGGAGUCCAAGAUAGAGGUGGACCCAGAACACCUUGGCUUGUCAUCUUUCCUAAACCCAGAACAGAGAUAUGCAUAUGAUGAGAUACUUGCGACCAUCAAUAGUGGCCAAGGAGGUGUGUUCUUUGUUGAUGGACCCAGAGGCACGGGAAAUACUUAUCUGUACAAAGCACUACUUGCAAAAGUACGUGCCGAGGGUAAAAUAGCUAUUGCAACAGCGACAUCAGGCGUUGCUGCAUCCAUCUUCCCUGGAGGGAGGAUUGCACACUCAAGGUUUAAAAUACCAUUGAACACCGAAGACGGUGGGGUCUGCAGUUUCACCAAGCAAAGUGGGACAACUAAGCUUCUUAUGAGGGCGUCCUUCAUAAUUUGGGACGAGGCCUCCAUGACAAAGCGGCAGGCGGUCGAGGCCCUUGACAAUAGCAUGAGGGACAUCAUGGCUCGACCUGACCUGCCGUUUGGUGGAAAGACAAUUGUGUUUGGGGGAGACUUCAGACAAGUGCUUCCUGUUGUUCGUAAGGGAACAAGGUCCCAAAUAACUGACGUGACGCUGCGUAAGUCUUACCUUUGGGAGAAUAUGAGACAACUAAGACUUGUUCGUAAUAUGAGGGCUCAGAGCAAUCCAUGGUUUGUUGAUUACCUUCUUCAUGUUGGGAAUGGCACUGAAGAUACCGUGGAUGAUGAUUACAUACGGCUUCCAGAUGAGAUUUGUGUACCAUACACCAGCGACGCCACUGAUAUUGAUAAGCUUAUUGAAAGUGUUUUCCAGAUGACCCUAAAAGAAAACCUCUUGGAUCGAAAUUACAUAACGUCCCGAGAAAUUUUGUCAACUCGGAAUGAGUACGUUGACAAGAUUAACAUGAAAAUGAUUGAGAGGUUUCCUGGGGAGGAAAUGAUAUACUAUAGUUUUGAUCACGCGGAGGAUGAUCCACACAACUACUACCCUGCAGAAUUCUUGAAUUCAUUAACACCUAAUGGGCUACCUCCCCAUAUCCUAAAGCUAAAAAUUAAUUGCCCUAUUAUAUUGUUACGCAACAUUGACCCAGCGAGUGGUUUGUGCAAUGGGACGAGGUUGAUUGUCCGAGGAUUCAUGAGGAAUGCAAUAGAUGCUGAGAUUGUGUUGGGCCAGCAUGCUGGCAAGAGGGUGUUCCUUCCUCAAAUUCCUCUUUGCCCAUUAGACGAUGAGAUGUUUCCAUUUAGGUUCAAGAGGAAGCAGUUUCCAGUUAGACUUAGCUUUGCUAUGACCAUUAACAAGGCACAAGGACAAACUAUACCAAAUGUUGUAUACCUCCCUGAACCGGUAUUUUCACACGGGCAGCUCUAUGUUGCUCUUUCUAGAGCUACAUCUAGAAGUAAUAUGAAGAUUCUUACUGUACCGGGUAAAAAAAAGGAAGUCCAGUCCAACUCCACUGCAAAUAUUACAAAGAACAUAGUCUACAAAGAAGUUCUCAGCAUGUAGUCCAAGGUAUAAAUCACUCAAGUACAAUUUGGUUGCCGUAAAAAUUAUAUCUAUCUAACUAGGGUCAUGUGGAGGAUUUACGGAAAGACAACUUAGAUACUUGCUUUAGUGUUCAUGAUUUUUUGUAACAACAAUUAUAUGUGUGUUUGAAUUGUUUUUAGUAGUUUCCUUUGUUACUCCCAUUGUUAAAAAUAAUAAUAAUAAUUCAAACAAUGCCGACAGCAGGUUGCUUUGUCAUCAACGCAUUUCAUUUGGUUGGUAGCUCCACAUCCAAUUUUCAGGGCACACCCUGAAUAUUUGUUUCCUUUCUGUCUGUUAUUGGCAUUUUGUUUUUCUUCGCAGAAACCUGGUUGAUGUGACAAAGUUACAAGUAGUCCAAUACUAAUAUUUUUGUAUCUACAUGCAUGUGGACUCACCCCUUCUAAAUACAUAUGAUUCAAAAACAUCUUUUACUUAACAAUUUGUUUCUUUGCUUCCGUACAAAAUGUACAAGUGUUGUUCAAUGUUUUUUCCUUUGCCUAAAUAUACUACAGAGUACAUACCCUCUACAAGCUCCUUGUUUUUUCGUUUGUCUAAAUAUACUACAGACCAUUAUAUAUAUAUAUAUAUGCAGUACUGAUUACCUUAUUUCAUUUUAGGUGAGAAGAUGGAUGAAGCCAGAGCUCGAGGGCCAACAUUGUUAGCAUAGAUGGUUUUGAGCAAACGACUAAAAGAAGGUCCUGGGGAUCCAAACAAUGUAGUUUUGUGUGUUUGUCAGUUCCUAACAUCUUGAGCAACCUUGCAGAAAGGAGCUCUUUGAGGACUGUUGUGAC